rnacentral:rRNA from 1 species
GAAAAGAAACCAACAGGGAUUGCCCCAGUAACGGCGAGUGAAGCGGCAACAGCUCAGAUUUGGAAUCUGGCCUUCGGGCCCGAGUUGUAAUCUGGAGAGGAUGCUUCUGGCGCGGUGCCUUCCGAGUUCCCUGGAACGGGACGCCGGAGAGGGUGAGAGCCCCGUACGGUUGGACACCUAGCCUUUGUGAAGCUCCUUCGACGAGUCGAGUAGUUUGGGAAUGCUGCUCAAAAUGGGAGGUAAAUUUCUUCUAAAGCUAAAUAUUGGCCAGAGACCGAUAGCGCACAAGUAGAGUGAUCGAAAGAUGAAAAGCACUUUGAAAAGAGGGUUAAAAAGUACGUGAAAUUGUUGAAAGGGAAGCGCCCGUGGCCAGACUUGCGCUGCGCGGACCACCCAGCGUUCUCGCUGGUGCACUCCGCGCGGCGCAGGCCAGCAUCGGUUUUCCUAGGGGGAUAAAGGUUGCGGGAACGUAGCUCCUUCGGGAGUGUUAUAGCCCGUGGCGUCAUGCCCCUGGGGGGACCGAGGACCGCGCUUCGGCAAGGAUGCUGGCGUAAUGG